rfam:Bombyx mori DNA, contig: Bm_scaf58_contig28438, strain: p50T/Dazao, build 2, whole genome shotgun sequence.
UUAACUCAAAUUUGCAAGGAGCUGAAACGACUGCCUAAGUUUACCGCUAGGAGCGCUGUUCCAACUGCAUACAAAUUUGGGAUA